rnacentral:rRNA from 1 species
CCUACGGGGGUCAGCAGUGAGGAAUAUUGGUCAAUGGGCGGGAGCCUGAACCAGCCAAGCCGCGUGAGGGAAGAAGGUACAGCGUAUCGUAAACCUCUUUUGUCAGGGAACAAAGGCGGGGACUAGUCCCCGGAUGAGGGUACCUUAAGAAAAAGCAUCGGCUAACACCGUGCCAGCAGCCGCGGUAAUACGGGGGAUGCGAGGGUUAUCCGGAUUUAUUGGGUUAAAAGGGUGCGCAGGCGGCAUGUUAAGUCAGCGGUAAAAGCCCGGGGCUCAACACCGGCCAGCCGUUGAAACUGGCGGGCUUGAGUGGGAGAGAAGUAAGCGGAAUGCGUGGUGUAGCGGUGAAAUGCUUAGAUAUCGCGCAGAACCCCGAUUGCGAAGGCAGCGUACCGGCUCCACACUGACGCUGAGGCACGAAAGCGUGGGUAUCGAACAGGAUUAGAUACCCGAGUAGUC